rnacentral:tRNA from 2 species
GCCCCCGUAGCUCAAUGGAUAGAGCAGUCCCGUCCUAAGGGAAAGAUCCGGGUUCGACUCCUAGCGGGGGCA